UACGUAGGGGGCUAGCGUUGUCCGGAAUCAUUGGGCGUAAAGAGCGUGUAGGCGGCCCGGUAAGUCCGCUGUAAAAGUCAAAGGCUCAACCUUUGAAUGUCAGUGGAUACUGCCGGGCUAGAGUCCGGAAGAGGCGAGUGGAACUCCUGGUGUAGCGGUGGAAUGCGCAGAUAUCAGGAAGAACACCAAUGGCGAAGGCAGCUUGCUGGGUAACACCUGACACUGAGACGCGAAAGCGUGGGGAGCAAACAGG
rnacentral:rRNA from 1 species